rnacentral:rRNA from 1 species
AUCAUUAUCGAUGGCCGCGCCGUGAGCGCCCUGGUGCAGGAUCGGCCGGCCACUGACCACACCCUUACUUUACGAGCACCUUUCGUUCUCCUUCGGCGGGGCAACCCGCCGCUGGAACCUCAUCAAACCUUUUUUUGCAUCUAGCAUUACCUGUUCUGAUAAAAAACAAUCGUAACAACUUUCAACAAUGGAUCUCUUGGCUCUGGCAUCGAUGAAGAACGCAGCGAAAUGCGAUAAGUAGUGUGAAUUGCAGAAUUCAGUGAAUCAUCGAAUCUUUGAACGCACAUUGCGCCCCUUGGUAUUCCAUGGGGCAUGCCUGUUCGAGCGUCAUCUACACCCUCAAGCUCUGCUUGGUGUUGGGCGUCUGUCCCGCCUCUGCGCGCGGACUCGCCCCAAAGAGUGAAGCGGCAACAGCUCAAAUUUGAAAUCUGGCUCCUUUGGGGUCCGAGUUGUAAUUUGCAGAGGGUGCUUUGGCAUCGGCGGCGGUCUAAGUUCCUUGGAACAGGACAUCGCAGAGGGUGAGAAUCCCGUACGUGGGCGCCUGCCUUUGCCGUGUAAAGCCCCUUCGACGAGUCGAGUUGUUUGGGAAUGCAGCUCUAAAUGGGAGGUAAAUUUCUUCUAAAGCUAAAUACCGGCCAGAGACCGAUAGCGCACAAGUAGAGUGAUCGAAAGAUGAAAAGUACUUUGGAAAGAGAGUCAAAUAGCACGUGAAAUUGUUGAAAGGGAAGCGCUUGCAGCCAGACUUGCCCGCAGUUGCUCACCCAGGCUCCGGCCUGGGGCACUCUUCUGCGGGCAGGCCAGCAUCAGUUUGGGCGGUUGGAUAAAGGCCUCUGUCACGUAUCUCCCUUCGGGGUGACCUUAUAGGGGAGGCGCAAUGCAACCAGCCCGGACGAGGUCCGC